AGUCACGGAAAACUGGUCUAUGAGCCUUCUCUAGUUCUUCUCUUUGGUUUACUUGUGCAAUAAGGGGUUUCCGUGCUCGACGCUUGUCGCCGUGCACGGAAGCCUCGUAAAAAAAGGGAAAACAGCAGGCAACAGCAGGCAACUUUUCUCGAAGAGGUCCCCGUCGUCGUCGUCGUCGUCGUCGUCGUCGUCCUCGACGUCGUGCUUGCGAUGCUGCUGUGCUCCGUUUCGAAGGAUAAUGCGUUGACGUGGUCCGUGAUAAGAAGACACGCAUCAUCUUCAUGCACUUUAUCGACGGUGCGGUGAACAGGAUGGGCAAGCAAGACGGUCCGUGUUGGUGGUGCGUGAAGGCCGUCAAGUGGAUACCAGUGAUCUUCAUCGUGACGAUCGUUGCCUGGUCCUAUUAUGCUUAUGUGGUGCAAUUGUGCUGUUAUACAAUAGACAAUUAUGUUCAAAAAGGUUUCUAUCUACUUUUCUUCCAUAUUCUAUUUCUGAUGUUUUUAUGGUCAUAUUGGCAAACAGUAUUCACAGAAUUGAUGCCAGUACCAGAUAAGUUUAAAAUACCUGAUGUUGAAAUGGAGAAAUUACAACAAGCUGAAACUGAGGAAAUACAGAGACAAAUUUUGGAAAGAUUUGCACAGGAUCUUUCAGUUACCAAUCGCACUAUAAAAGGAGCAAUGCGAUUUUGUGAAAAAUGUCAACUGAUAAAGCCUGAUAGAACACAUCAUUGCAGUGUAUGUGGAACUUGUAUUUUAAAAAUGGAUCAUCAUUGUCCAUGGGUGAACAACUGUGUAGGCUUUCACAAUUACAAAUUCUUCAUGUUGUUUCUGGCAUAUGCACUUCUAUACUGUAUGUUUAUUACUGCUACAUCCUUGCAAUACUUUAUACAUUUUUGGAAAGGUGAAUUAGAUGGAACGGGUAGAUUCCAUCUACUAUUCCUUUUUUUUGUUGCAUUGAUGUUUGCAGUCAGUCUUAACUCUCUUUUCUUCUACCAUUGCUAUCUGGUUGUGCACAAUAGGUCAACACUAGAGGCCUUUAGAACUCCUAUGUUUCGAACAGGAAAGGACAAAGAUGGGUUUAGCUUGGGGAAAUAUAAUAAUUUUCAGGAAGUAUUUGGCGACAAUGCACGACUCUGGUUCUUGCCUGUGUUUAGUAGUCUGGGGAAUGGUGUCGUCUACCCAGUACGAUCGCAGCACCAGGGCACACCCAAUACUUAUGACUCCAUGGGCAGUACUCAGAACAGCUUUGGAGACGGGGUAAACUUUCCCGAGAGGCUGUGCAAUGAGGAUACUCAUACUCUGUUGGGCCAUGGAACCCAACAGUGGGUUGACGAUACCGACUUUGACUCCCCACAUCCCUACGUAAAUCAGCUCAAAUACAAGAUGUCCCAGAACUCAGAAUUAACAGACGGCGAAUUGUGGGACACCGUGUAUGUUCAGAGGACUCGACGUAUGUUCUCACGACGUAAUAGCGAAUAAGUUCGAUGUAUCCUUUACAGAAAGGGUUUUCCCUGACUGUUACCGAGUGGCAUUCUUGUAUUAUUUAUUGACACUGAUGCGUAUUAUGAUCAAAUAAUAGUCAUUAAUAAUGAGUGAUGAAUGUACACGUACAUUCCGAUAGUUAUUACAAGCAUUCGUACUUCGUUGAAAUAGACGGGCGAUCUAGGGGACGAGUAAAGUAGAGGAUAAGAGUAGCUAGUACGUUAGUGAGUAAAAUAAUGUGUAAGCAUACUACGCAUAUGUACCGGAAAGACAUAAUCUUUUCGCUGUAAAAAUAUAAGAUUUUAUUUAUCAUUUUAUUUAUAUAUAUAUUUGUUUUUAUUUAGAACGUUGCCACUCUCCACGUGUUGCACGUGCGCGGUGCGCGUCAGCAAAAAUUGAGAGAUACAAUAAAUUGCUCAGUAUUAUUAUUUACAGAGAGUAUAUAUAUCAUUGUUGGACGCACUAUUUUAUUAAUACACGUUGAUUGAAUGCGUGGUCUUUUAGAUUUUCUGCAUUUCAUGUGUGCACUACAUGAAGUUUUAUCGUAAAUAUACAGAUAAGCUUACAAAAUACAUCAUGCCAAUUACAGUAAGUGCGCCGUUGAAUUCAAUAUUAAUAAGUGUCAAGUAUUAUUUUCGUCUCACCGCGAGUUCGCGAGCUUUCGCUUUCAUUAACAGACUAAUUUCGAUAUUUUUACCGAAAUCGUUUGCUGCUUAUUCUCCCCUCUAAUAAUAAUAAUUUUAAACUAUUAAGAUAACUUGCUUGAGAAUCCAUAUUUGAAUCAUUAACUUGUUACAAUUGUCUAAUAUAAUAUUUUUCUGUUUGAAAAAUAAGAGAAGUCGAUUAGCUUUUAUAUUUCACAUGUGUGCAUCACAUACAAAGUAUAUUUUAUAUCGUUUGUACGUAGAUAUAUUUUUUUGUAAGCUUGUAGUAUAUGUAUCGAAUUUCUUCAUGACCAGCUCAUUAAAACGUGCAACUUUGAAUUUCAUUUACAGCAUACGUAAUUAUUAGUUACGCGCACACAUCAUACAUGUAGGUAAAUACAGUAGCACUAUAUCUUUUGUUAGUGUAAUUCAUGUUACUGAAUUUCUGAUUGACCACAGGUCCACCAUUGAUCAAAUGACAUUGGUAGAAGAAGCUACAAUUUUGGCUCUUGGCACUGGCACUGCUGUGAUAGGUCCUGGUGUUGAUGCCGACCAACCACCACUGUUGACUACCGCGGAAUCUGUUUGAACAGCACCGUUCAUAUGAAAAAUCUCACGUAUACGCUUCUGUGAAAUUGUAAUUAUGACGUAGCGAGUAUAGUUUGAAAUAUCGAUUUACUUUCGGUGCUCCUUUCCAUUCUACACUCUAAAGU